CCUUGUACACACCGCCCGUCACGCCAUGGAAGCCGGGAGUGCCCGAAGUCCGUGUCCUAACCGCCAAGGAGGAGCGGCCGAAGCAACGCUCGGUGACUGGGCG
rnacentral:rRNA from 1 species